CUUUCUUUUCUCUGUGUCUCGUGCGGUUUGCUCGCGAGCACGACUGCCUUGGCUGGGAUGUUUUGUGCAGUCGCCAUUCCCUUGUGUGACGUCAUAGUGCAUUGUUGUGACUUGCGUAGCGGAGCAUCCCUCAAGCUGUCAGCUGUGUCGCCGCCGCCGCUGCGGGAGCGCGAGCCCGAGCCGGCCCAGCCCCCCGCCUCCUUGUCUUCCCCCCGCCCCUCCCUCAGGGGUUCUAGAACUCCACGUCACCGUAUCAUUGUCUGUGCGGGACCCUCGGGCUCCCCCUCCCUCCCCCCGCCCCUGCACGUUCCAUCCCGCCCCCCAUAGAACCAUCUCAAUGAGAUGCAAACAUGAAAGACAAGAGGAAGAAGAAGGACCGCACCUGGGCCGAGGCUGCCCGCCUGGGAGGAGCUGCCCAGGUGUGCUGAGGGCCCGUACUCGGGAAGAGAAACAGGGAGUCCUCCACAGCUCUGGAAAAACACCCCAACUCUCCAAUGACUGCAAAACAAAUAUUGGAAGUGAUUCAGAAAGAAGGGCUGAAAGAAACCAG